rnacentral:lncRNA from 1 species
GGUCGGAGUCGCUGUACCCGACCAAGCUCUCGUCGUCGCCACGACGAUACACGCAUCCAUGCGUGAGUGUACCCGCGAUGUACCGGAGCAGGUGCUUGACGGCAGCGAGGUGAUCGCUUGCCGGGGCUUCCAUGAACCUAUUCAGGUACCCGACAACGAACGUGAUGUCCGGUCGGGUGUGCUCGAGAUACCUUAGGCUCCCGAUGAUGCGGCGGUAGAGCGUAGCAUCCACCGCCUUCUCAAAGCUAUCAUUGCUAAGCUUCAGCCGUGCCUCCAUUGGAGCAUGCACAACAUAGCAGUCCUUCAUGCCUGCUCGCUCGAGCAUCUUGGUGGCGUAGGCCGCCUGCGUGAUCGUGAUGCGACCACCCUCCUGGUUCACCUCUAUUCCGAGGUAGUACCGAAGCAGCCCGAGGUCGCUCAUGCUGAAGAGACGAUGCAUCUCUCCCUUGAAGCGUCGAACCUCUUCGGGCUCUGCCCCGGCGAUGACCAGGUCGUCGACGGAGAUGCCGACGAUGAGCAGCGUGUUCGCAGUGCCACGCGAGUACACGCCAUGCUCAGAAGCGCUGCGUGAGAACCCAAGGGAUGCGAUGCUUGCAUCGAGCUUGGGGUUCCAUGCCCUUGGGGUUUGCCGGAGACCGUACGGGGCCUUGUGUAGCCUGUACACGCCCUGCUCGUGGUUCUUGGCGACGAACCCUGGAGGCUGGGAGACGUACACCUCCUCGUUAAGGUCGCCGUUGAGAAACGCCGACUUGACGUCCAUGUGGUGUACCUCCCACCCGCGAUGAGCGGCCACGGCAAGGAUAAGCCGCACAGACUCCAUCCUUGCCACCGGAGCGAAGGCUUCCUCGAAGUCCACCCCCUUGCGCUGUACGUAGCCCUUUGCGACGAGGCGCGCCUUGUGCUUGACAAUGGCGCCGUGCUCAUCCUUUUUCACCUUGAACACCCACUUGAGCCCGAUGGCUCAGUCCCCAGCAGGCAGUGUGGUGAAUGUCCAAGUGGCAUUGUCGUUGAUCGACGCCAGCUCGUCCAGCAUCGCGUGGCGCCAACAAUCCUCUUGGUCAGCCUAUGCAAACGUGGUCGGUUCCUCACCGGCCAUCAGAUGCAAGACGUAGUCGUCAUCAACGUCCUCUUCCUCGGGUUGUUACGGUGUUGCCGCAACCUCGUCGAGAAGAUCUCCCAUGCGCCGAAACCUGUGGGGGCACCAAUGCUGUCAUCGGCGUAGAACAUCUCUGACCUUGCUGUUGGCGGGGUCGCAAACUGCCUCCCGUGACCCACCUUGCUUGAUGUCGGGGUGUCCGGGGACAUCGUACCCAGGGACGGUGUUCUCGGGGUUGCGGUUCCCGGAUCAACACCUCCCGGGCUUCCCGAGGUCUUGCUUCCCGGGGUUGUAGAGUACAUCGGGUACUCCACAGUGAAGGAGCUACUUGCCGGGGCCUCCCCCGACGACUCCCAAGUCCAUCGCGCGCCUUCGUCGAAGAUGACGUCGCGCGAGACAUGCACACGCUUUGAGAUGGGGUCGUACAUCUUGUACGCCUUAGAGCCCGUCUCAUAGCCCAUGAACACCAUUGGGGUGCUCCUGUCGUCGAGCUUCUUCAGUUGUGGGCGCGUCAUCUUGACGUGCCCGACGCACCCAAAGGUGUGGAGGAAGCGUACAUCGGGCUUCCUCCCACACCACGCCUCGUAAGGCGUCUUGCCAUCGAUGCUCCUUGUGAAGAAGCGGUUGAGGAUGAAGACGGCCAUGAGUACGGCCUCCCCCCAAUAUGUGCUUGGCACCUGCCUUGCCUUGAGCAUGCAGCGUGCCAUCCCGAGCACAGUUUGGUUCCUCUGCUCGACGUCGCCGUUCUGCUGCGGCGAGUAGGGGGCUGUCAGGUGACGUUGUACCCCUUUGUCGUCGCAGUGCUUGUAGAACGUGGCCGACGUGAACUCGCCGCCACGGUCCAUGCGCAGAACGCGCAGCUUGUGGCCACAUUCCACCUCUGCUGCCGCUUGCUGCUUGACGAUGGCUUGCUCCGCCUCGUCCUUGGAGGCGAGGAGCAACACCCACAUGAACCUGCUGUAGUCGUCGACGAGCAGCAGGAUGUAGCGAUGCCCUGGCGUUGUCGGGGUGAUUGGGCCGCAGAGGUCCCCAUGAACCAAUUCCAGGGGUUUCUGCGCCUGAUAGCGUGCCUUCUCGGGAAAGGGCAGGCGCCGCUGCUUCCCGGCAAGACAUGCAUCGCACAAAUCAUCGGCAUGCUCGAUGUGAGGUGGCCCACAAACGAGUUUGCCUCGCGCCAUCUUCCACAACCCGUCGAAGUGCUGGUGUCCUAGCCGGGCAUGCCAACGCCACGCGUCGGAGACAUGGCCCACGGCAAGGCACACAGGAUGCACGGGUCGAAAGAAGAGCUUGUAGAGGCGGUUUUCCGAGCGGGUUACAUCGAUGAGCAGCCUCUUCUGCUGGUCACGCACGGUGAGAACACCGUGGCGGAUGCCGAUGUCGAACCAGCCCUCGUCGAGCUGUCCGACACUCACGACGCUGCUCUUGAGCGCCGGGAUGAAGUAGACGUCCGUGAACACCCUGUGAUCACCCCCUUUGUCGGCGAAGACGACGGUCCCGCGCCCGUGGAUCUCCACCACGGAUCCGUCCGCGAACCGCACCUUCCCGGUGAUUGAGCGGUCCAGCUCCGCGAACGCGUCGACUGAACCAGUCAUGUGGUUCGUGGCGCCGGUGUCGAGGAACCAACCCUCACUUUGCUUGCUGCCUGCAAGCGUGGGUGUGGUCACGGCUCUCUCCUCGUUGAGGAAGACGUAGCUGCACGCACACGCCGUUGUCAGGGAGCCAUCUCCCGUCAACACGGUGGACCCCGAACACUUUGUUGUCGGGGUGUGGCUGACCUGAAUGUCCGUGCGCUCCUGCACGGAGUCGAUGGUCGCCAGCAUCAUGGUCGGAGCAUGGUCCGCCAUAUGCGUCAUUGUCGCGCCAACUUGCGCGACCUCGUCGGGUCCCAUGGUCGUUGGGGACGCCGUCGCCGGGGUGUGGCUCCCCCACACCCAAGCCUUCAUCGCCUCCCAGUCGACAGGCCCCGCAAACAUCGUUCUCGAGGUGUGACCUGUCACUUGAGUGAUGGUUCCCGUGGACGGGUUCCGUGCCUCCUGCACGGAAUGGGUGGUUGUCGGAGCCGUGGUCGCGAGAGACGAUGUGCUCUCCUGCACGGGAUCGACUCUUGCCAGCAUCAUUACCGGCCCGUCGUCCACGUCAGCCUGGACGAGGUUUGUCAUUGUCGCGGCUGCCUCGUCGGCUUCCUCCUGCGGCAAUCCCGGAUCCAGUGACCCGGCAUGUCGCAGUAGUGGCACUUGUCACCGUUGCCAGCGCCUCGCCCUACCCAUCUUGGCUUGCGACCGCGGUUGCCUCCACCUCUCUGGGUGCGGCCUCCGCCUCUGCCGCGACCUCUGCUUCCCGUGGGGGCGCCUCCCCCACUGCCGGAAGAGCCGUCGUGACCGCGCUGCUGAAGGCGUGCGUCCCACUGCUCCCAGGUGAGCAGUAGUUCGCCGCCGGCAUGGUUGUUGGCUUUGAUUCCACGCUCCUCGACGACCUUGAGUCGCCCUACCAGCUCCUCGAUCGUCAUGGUGGAGAGAUCCACCAUGCACUCGAUGGACCAGGCCAGUUGCUUGUACUGCCUGGGGACGACGCGGAGAAACUUGAGAAUCACCAUCUUGUUGUCGAUGGGAUCUUCGAGCGUUGCAAGCUCGGUGACGAGACCUUGCAGCCGCAAGGCGAAGUCGUCGACUUGUUCACGGCCUUGAACCGGAUCUCCUCGUACUGGAGGCGCAAGGUCUGGGCCUUCGACUCCCGUACGUGCUCCACGCGGAUGCGCAGAGUCUUGAUGGUGUCCCAUGCUUCCUUGGCCGUCUCCUUGGCGCCAAGGGUGAGCACCAUCUCCGCUGGGGCGGAGCACAAGAUCGCCUCCAUCGCUAGCCGGUCCUCCUCAUACUCGACAGCGCCGGUUUCCACGGCUUCCCACAUAUGCCGCGCCUCCAUGAUGACUUUCAUCAGGACGGACCAACUGGGGUAGUUGGUCCACGUGAGGAGAGGGAAGGAGGCACUGGACAUGCCCACGUCUCGCACAGAGCGUGGCGCACCCAGCUCACCUCCCGGCCUGCCUCGCAGUGCGAGCACGUCCGCCGCACGGGUCUCGUCAGCCGAGCCCUGCUCGGCGGUCUUGGAACCGUCGUUGGUGACGCCUCCUUUCGGCAUGUGCUUCGGCAUAACCUGAGGCUCUGAUGCCAAUUGUUAGCCCAAAUUACAGAGUAGCUGGCUACCAGGAUCAGACGAAGUCGAGGAAGAGAUGAACUACAUAGAGUAGCGGCUGUGUGGUACUGCCUACUACUACUUGCACUCGCAAGUGCUGCUUACACACAGACACGUACACAUAUGUAGUAAUACUACUUGAGGCAUAGAUGGAUUGAAAUGGAAUGGCCUUAUUACAAGUGAAGGACCCAGGGUCCUUUUAUAGGCCGGGCUGUGCCCAGUGCACACACACUACGAACAUGCACCCCUAGCUUUUUUACUAGAUAUAAAGGCUACUACAAACUCUCCACCUCAGGCUUUUUCACGAGAGAAAGACUACUACUACUCAGCGUCCACUACUCAGCUCCUUUCUAACUAGAGAAAGCCUAGUAUUGCUUAGCUACUUUCCAUGCAACCAUGCAUGCGUGGAAGACAGGGUGAAGCUCACAAUCUUCCCCUUAACCAUCUCGAAGAGGCUUGACGUCGAUGGUCCCGACUUUGUCACGCAGUUCUUGGAACCGGACGCGACCAAGUGACUUGGUCAGGAUGUCCGCCUUCUGCUUACCAGUCCUGAUGAACUCCACUAUCACCGUGCCCUUCUCGAAGCAGUCACCUAUGAAGUGAUAGCGGAGAUCGAUGUGCUUGUUGCGGUCGUGAAGCACUGGAUUCUUGCAAAGGGAAAUCGCCGACUUGUUGUCGACGAAGAUGAGCGCAGGGUGGUGUCCUGAUUCAGCAUCUCGCCGAGAAGGUGAGCAAGCCAAAUGCCUUGACAGGCCACUGUAGCUGCCGCGAUGUACUCCGCCUCGCACAAAGAUGCGGCGACAACCUUCUGCCUCACCGAUUGCCAGCUGACUGGACUAUUCCCGAGCAGGAACAGUAUGCCCGAGGUGCUCUUUAGGGAGUCCACGUCACCAGCAUGGUCGGAGUCGCUGUACCCGACCAAGCUCUCGUCGUCGCCACGACGAUACACGCAUCCAUGCGUGAGUGUACCCGCGAUGUACCGGAGCAGGUGCUUGACGGCAGCGAGGUGAUCGCUUGCCGGGGCUUCCAUGAACCUACUCAGGUACCCGACAACGAACGUGAUGUCCGGUCGGGUGUGCUCGAGAUACCUUAGGCUCCCGAUGAUGCUGCGGUAGAGCGUAGCAUCCACCGCCUUCUC